rnacentral:rRNA from 1 species
UACGGAGGGGACUAGCGUUGUUCGGAAUUACUGGGCGUAAAGCGCACGUAGGCGGAUUGUUAAGUCAGGGGUGAAAUCCUGGAGCUCAACUCCAGAACUGCCUUUGAUACUGGGGAUCUCGAGUCCGGAAGAGGUGAGUGGAACUCCGAGUGUAGAGGUGAAAUUCGUAGAUAUUCGGAAGAACACCAGUGGCGAAGGCGGCUCACUGGUCCGGUACUGACGCUGAGGUGCGAAAGCGUGGGGAGCAAACAGG